rnacentral:rRNA from 1 species
CUGACUCAGGGAGGUAGUGACAAGAAAUAACAACGCUGGAAAUUUGAUUUCUAGUGAUUGGAAUGAUGGGAAUCCAAACCCCUUUCAGAGUAACAAUUGGAGGGCAAGUCUGGUGCCAGCAGCCGCGGUAAUUCCAGCUCCAAUAGCGUAUAUUAAAGUUGUUGCAGUUAAAAAGCUCGUAGUUGGAUUUCUGCUGGAAGCAGCCAGUCCGCCUCUGUAGAGAGGUGUGCACAUGGUGAAUUCUGGCAUUUGUUCCUGGGUGUGUGAGGGUCGAUCGAUGUUUUGCACGCUUUGGACUGUUACUUUGAGAAAAUUAGAGUGUUUCAAGCAGGCUUGUGGCCUUGAAUACUGCAGCAUGGAAUAACAAUAUAGGAUUUCGGUUCUAUUUUGGUUGGUUUCUAGGACUGAAGUAAUGAUUAAUAGGGACAGUUGGGGGCAUUCGUAUUUAACUGUCAGAGGUGAAAUUCUUAGAUUUGUUAAAGACGAACUACUGCGAAAGCAUUUGCCAAAGAUGUUUUCAUUAAUCAAGAACGAAAGUUAGGGGCUCGAAGACGAUCAGAUACCGUCGUAGUCUUAACCAUAAACUAUGCCGACUAGAGAUAGGAAAUUGUCAUGAUUGACUUCUCCUGC